rnacentral:rRNA from 1 species
CCUACGGGAGGCAGCAGUGGGGAAUAUUGCACAAUGGGGGAAACCCUGAUGCAGCGACGCCGCGUGAGUGAUGAAGUACUUCGUUAUGUAAAGCUCUAUCAGCAGGGAAGAAAAUGACGGUACCUGAGUAAGAACCCCCGGCUAACUACGUGCCAGCAGCCGCGGUCAUACGUAGGGGGAAAGCGUUAUCCGGAUUUACUGGGUGUAACGGGAGCGUAGACGGCUGUGCAAGUCUGGAGUGAAAGGCGGGGGCUCAACCCCCGGACUGCUCUGGAAACUGGACGGCUGGAGUGCAGGAGAGGUAAGUGGAAUUCCUAGUGUAGCGGUGAAAUGCGUAGAGAUUAGGAGGAACACCAGUGGCGAAGGCGGCUUACUGGACUGUAACUGACGUUGAGGCUCGAAAGCGUGGGGAGCAAACAGGAUUAGAUACCCGUGUAGUC